GCGGAGCUGUCAGCGCCCGGGGGUCCCCCCCGCAUCCCCGAGUCGGUCACCGCUCCCCGCCGGCGCAGCCGGGAGGCGGCAGAGACACGGAGCACUUGGGCUUUAAACGGCUUUCCUGCAGUUUUCAGCUUGUAAAGGUCGGUGGUACAGAGGCAGCAAAAUCGCAGAUUUGGAGCUACUCAUCUGCGCCAGUUCAAGAUUAAACGAGAAGCACUAGUGAUCUCUGCAGAUUCCCUUGGCAGGAAGGAGUGCACAGGAAGACCCCCAUGGAUACAGCUGCUGCUGGUGUUCCACACACAGGAGAUGCACUGCUUCACAGCAGAGAGAAAGCCAUGCCUCUCUGUUAAUACUCUUAAACAGAUUCAGAAUCCCAGGUUCUACCCAUAACAGCAAAGAGAAAUAAGCUUUCUAGUGCCACGGCUCUUGGAAGAGACACUUCUCUUCGUGAAGGCUUAAAGAACUGUCUCGGCGAGAGCGAGAUGCGGCCGGGCGCCCCGAGCGCGGCCCUUGGCCGUGACCUCCGCCCGGACAGGUCGGGGACGGGACCGGGGGCCGUGGCCCGAGGGGAGCCCGGGGACGUCCUGCCCGCGGCCCUGCCCCGCGGGGGGAGCCACACCGACGGGAGCCGGCGGCUCCUCCUCUUCCUCCAUCUGUUUCGCUGCCUGUCUCCUCCCCCGGCCCCAUGUUUUUAACACUUAGCAAAGGCAGGAGUUUGGCACCCUCCGACCAAAACAAACAGCGUUUCCAAGGACAGGCCCGGGGGGAGGGAGGCCGGCGGCGAAGCAAGGAGGGAACACUGUCUGUCAGCCCCAGAGAGGGCGAGCCGGGGCGCCCGCCCCUAAGCGCCCCAGCCCCCAUUCCCCGCGGCGGUCUCGGGGUGCCCCUGCCCUGCCGACCGGGGCUGCAGGGGGGACCCUGCGGCUGCGCCCGUCGGGGCGGAUCGUCCCGGCGGACACCAAGGGAUGAUGAAAGCCCAGGAGACACGGGGCAGGGAGGGAACUACGGACCCAGCGCAGGAACUGCGAAACCCACCUGCUGCAGCGGGUGCCCCUCCGGGGCAGCAGAGGGAAGGGCCAGUCCACCACCUCCCUGCCACCCACACCGCACAGGAAGGUGGCAACU